rnacentral:rRNA from 1 species
UACGUAGGGGGCUAGCGUUGUCCGGAUUUAUUGGGCGUAAAGAGCUCGUAGGCGGCUCAGUAAGUCGGGUGUGAAAACCCGCAGCUCAACUGUGGGCUUGCAGCCGAUACGGGCGGGCUGGAGUUCGGUAGGGGAGACUGGAAUUCCUGGUGUAGCGGUGAAAUGCGCAGAUAUCAGGAGGAACACCGGUGGCGAAGGCGGGUCUCUGGGCCGAUACUGACGCUGAGGAGCGAAAGCGUGGGGAGCGAACAGG